rnacentral:lncRNA from 1 species
GCCGUAUCUUCAGCCCCCAGGAGAAGCAGCGCGAGACUGUGGAGAGGUCCCCUCGCCAGCUGCGUGGGGCGGCCAGAGCGCAGUUAGCUAAAGGCUAUGGACGCCCGGCCCGCCCAGGCCAUCUUCAGGGUGCCCGGGAGCACCUGCGCGCCCCAGCCCAGCCCCGCCACCUUCAUGGAUUCUGCCUUCAGAAGCAUGUGAAAUAGAUUACUCCAUUUAAACCAGGAAAAUAGUAGCACGAUUUCCUGGCUCUCCAGACCUUUCCCAGAAUGGAUGCAAUCACGUUCACAGCGAGGAAGCAUCCACUUCCUAAUGAGCUCUCGGUAGACUUUGGUUUGCAGCUGGUGGGCGCCUUACCUGUGCAUUCUCUCACCACUAUGCCCAUGCUGCCAUGGGUGGUGGCCGAAGUACGAAGACUCAGCGGCCAGGGCUCCAAAAAGGAGCCUGGGAUCAAGCAAGUCCGGCUUUGGGUUUCACCCUCUGGACUGAGAUGUGAACCUGACCUGAGGAAAAGUCAACAAUGGGACCCGCUGAUCUGUUCCAGCAUCUUUGAGUGCAAGCCUCAGCGUGUUCACAAACUGAUUCACAACAGUCACGACCCCAGUUACUUUGCUUGUCUCAUUAAGGAGGAUGCUGCCAACAGGCAGAGCCUCUGCUAUGUGUUUAAAGCAGACGAUCAAACUAAAAUUGAGUAUGACAGACAGAAUAGAGGAUCAGUGUUUGGCAUCUGCCCCACCAUCUGGUGAGCUACAAACAUGUACAGCGUGUUCAGUGGUGA